GGUUAAGCGACUAAGCGUACACGGUGGAUGCCCUGGCAGUCAGAGGCGAUGAAGGACGUGCUAAUCUGCGAUAAGCGUCGGUAAGGUGAUAUGAACCGUUAUAACCGGCGAUUUCCGAAUGGGGAAACCCAGUGUGUUUCGACACACUAUCAUUAACUGAAUCCAUAGGUUAAUGAGGCGAACCGGGGGAACUGAAACAUCUAAGUACCCCGAGGAAAAGAAAUCAACCGAGAUUCCCCCAGUAGCGGCGAGCGAACGGGGAGCAGCCCAGAGCCUGAAUCAGUGUGUGUGUUAGUGGAAGCGUCUGGAAAGGCGCGCGAUACAGGGUGACAGCCCCGUACACAAAAAUGCACAUGCUGUGAGCUCGAUGAGUAGGGCGGGACACGUGGUAUCCUGUCUGAAUAUGGGGGGACCAUCCUCCAAGGCUAAAUACUCCUGACUGACCGAUAGUGAACCAGUACCGUGAGGGAAAGGCGAAAAGAACCCCGGCGAGGGGAGUGAAAAAGAACCUGAAACCGUGUACGUACAAGCAGUGGGAGCACGCUUAGGCGUGUGACUGCGUACCUUUUGUAUAAUGGGUCAGCGACUUAUAUUCUGUAGCAAGGUUAACCGAAUAGGGGAGCCGAAGGGAAACCGAGUCUUAACUGGGCGUUAAGUUGCAGGGUAUAGACCCGAAACCCGGUGAUCUAGCCAUGGGCAGGUUGAAGGUUGGGUAACACUAACUGGAGGACCGAACCGACUAAUGUUGAAAAAUUAGCGGAUGACUUGUGGCUGGGGGUGAAAGGCCAAUCAAACCGGGAGAUAGCUGGUUCUCCCCGAAAGCUAUUUAGGUAGCGCCUCGUGAAUUCAUCUCCGGGGGUAGAGCACUGUUUCGGCAAGGGGGUCAUCCCGACUUACCAACCCGAUGCAAACUGCGAAUACCGGAGAAUGUUAUCACGGGAGACACACGGCGGGUGCUAACGUCCGUCGUGAAGAGGGAAACAACCCAGACCGCCAGCUAAGGUCCCAAAGUCAUGGUUAAGUGGGAAACGAUGUGGGAAGGCCCAGACAGCCAGGAUGUUGGCUUAGAAGCAGCCAUCAUUUAAAGAAAGCGUAAUAGCUCACUGGUCGAGUCGGCCUGCGCGGAAGAUGUAACGGGGCUAAACCAUGCACCGAAGCUGCGGCAGCGACGCUGAUGCGUUGUUGGGUAGGGGAGCGUUCUGUAAGCCUGCGAAGGUGUGCUGUGAGGCAUGCUGGAGGUAUCAGAAGUGCGAAUGCUGACAUAAGUAACGAUAAAGCGGGUGAAAAGCCCGCUCGCCGGAAGACCAAGGGUUCCUGUCCAACGUUAAUCGGGGCAGGGUGAGUCGACCCCUAAGGCGAGGCCGAAAGGCGUAGUCGAUGGGAAACAGGUUAAUAUUCCUGUACUUGGUGUUACUGCGAAGGGGGGACGGAGAAGGCUAUGUUGGCCGGGCGACGGUUGUCCCGGUUUAAGCGUGUAGGCUGGUUUUCCAGGCAAAUCCGGAAAAUCAAGGCUGAGGCGUGAUGACGAGGCACUACGGUGCUGAAGCAACAAAUGCCCUGCUUCCAGGAAAAGCCUCUAAGCAUCAGGUAACAUCAAAUCGUACCCCAAACCGACACAGGUGGUCAGGUAGAGAAUACCAAGGCGCUUGAGAGAACUCGGGUGAAGGAACUAGGCAAAAUGGUGCCGUAACUUCGGGAGAAGGCACGCUGAUAUGUAGGUGAAGUCCCUCGCGGAUGGAGCUGAAAUCAGUCGAAGAUACCAGCUGGCUGCAACUGUUUAUUAAAAACACAGCACUGUGCAAACACGAAAGUGGACGUAUACGGUGUGACGCCUGCCCGGUGCCGGAAGGUUAAUUGAUGGGGUUAGCCGCAAGGCGAAGCUCUUGAUCGAAGCCCCGGUAAACGGCGGCCGUAACUAUAACGGUCCUAAGGUAGCGAAAUUCCUUGUCGGGUAAGUUCCGACCUGCACGAAUGGCGUAAUGAUGGCCAGGCUGUCUCCACCCGAGACUCAGUGAAAUUGAACUCGCUGUGAAGAUGCAGUGUACCCGCGGCAAGACGGAAAGACCCCGUGAACCUUUACUAUAGCUUGACACUGAACAUUGAGCCUUGAUGUGUAGGAUAGGUGGGAGGCUUAGAAGUGUGGACGCCAGUCUGCAUGGAGCCGACCUUGAAAUACCACCCUUUAAUGUUUGAUGUUCUAACGUUGACCCGUAAUCCGGGUUGCGGACAGUGUCUGGUGGGUAGUUUGACUGGGGCGGUCUCCUCCUAAAGAGUAACGGAGGAGCACGAAGGUUGGCUAAUCCUGGUCGGACAUCAGGAGGUUAGUGCAAUGGCAUAAGCCAGCUUGACUGCGAGCGUGACGGCGCGAGCAGGUGCGAAAGCAGGUCAUAGUGAUCCGGUGGUUCUGAAUGGAAGGGCCAUCGCUCAACGGAUAAAAGGUACUCCGGGGAUAACAGGCUGAUACCGCCCAAGAGUUCAUAUCGACGGCGGUGUUUGGCACCUCGAUGUCGGCUCAUCACAUCCUGGGGCUGAAGUAGGUCCCAAGGGUAUGGCUGUUCGCCAUUUAAAGUGGUACGCGAGCUGGGUUUAGAACGUCGUGAGACAGUUCGGUCCCUAUCUGCCGUGGGCGCUGGAGAACUGAGGGGGGCUGCUCCUAGUACGAGAGGACCGGAGUGGACGCAUCACUGGUGUUCGGGUUGUCAUGCCAAUGGCACUGCCCGGUAGCUAAAUGCGGAAGAGAUAAGUGCUGAAAGCAUCUAAGCACGAAACUUGCCCCGAGAUGAGUUCUCCCUGACUCCUUGAGAGUCCUGAAGGAACGUUGAAGACGACGACGUUGAUAGGCCGGGUGUGUAAGCGCAGCGAUGCGUUGAGCUAACCGGUACUAAUGAACCGUGAGGCUUAACCUU
rnacentral:rRNA from 1 species